GCCCCAGUGGCGCAAUCGGUUAGCGCACGGUACUUAUAAUGCCGGAGUUGCGAGUUCGAGCCUCGCCUGGGGCA
rnacentral:tRNA from 1 species